rnacentral:rRNA from 1 species
ACGAACGCUGGCGGCGUGCUUAACACAUGCAAGUCGAACGGAAAGGCCCUGCUUGCAGGGUACUCGAGUGGCGAACGGGUGAGUAACACGUGGGUGAUCUGCCCUGCACUUCGGGAUAAGCCUGGGAAACUGGGUCUAAUACCGGAUAGGAGCCAUUUUUAGUGUGAUGGUUGGAAAGUUUUUUCGGUGUAGGAUGAGCUCGCGGCCUAUCAGCUUGUUGGUGGGGUAAUGGCCUACCAAGGCGGCGACGGGUAGCCGCCCUGAGAGGGUGGACGGCCACAUUGGGACUGAGAUACGGCCCAGACUCCUACGGGAGGCAGCAGUGGGGAAUAUUGCACAAUGGGCGCAAGCCUGAUGCAGCGACGCCGCGUGGGGGAUGACGGCCUUCGGGUUGUAAACUCCUUUCGCUAGGGACGAAGCUUUUUGUGACGGUACCUAGAUAAGAAGCACCGGCUAAUUACGUG